GAAAUUGUUCAUCUCAAAUUACUGCAGUUCAAAAUGAAUACUUUACUCGUAUAUGCUGUAACCAUAAUUUUUGCCUAUAACCAUAUAUUGGUCGAAAAUGCUCCUCAGUUAGAAAAUGGAUUUUCAUUAAUGUUUACAGCGCUUAAAUGUACCAUUGAGAAUAACUUCCACACUGCAGGAAAUUACAGUGAUAGUGUAUGCCAAAAGUCCUGUGCUGCUCAAGGGUACAGUAACGGCCUAUGUGAGAUAGAUGGGAAUUGUAAAUGUUGGGAUAAUAAACCAUAAUACUCAUUCAAUGUGGAACGCGUAAUGUAUUGUCACUUUUUGUCUUUUAAAAUAAAUACAACAAUAUAAAUGUUUAUGCUGGUUGUUAUAAUAAG